AGGGAAUCUUCCGCAAUGGGCGAAAGCCUGACGGAGCAACGCCGCGUGAGUGAUGAAGGUCUUCGGAUCGUAAAACUCUGUUAUUAGGGAAGAACAUAUGUGUAAGUAACUGUGCACAUCUUGACGGUACCUAAUCAGAAAGCCACGGCUAACUACGUGCCAGCAGCCGCGGUAAUACGUAGGUGGCAAGCGUUAUCCGGAAUUAUUGGGCGUAAAGCGCGCGUAGGCGGUUUUUUAAGUCUGAUGUGAAAGCCCACGGCUCAACCGUGGAGGGUCAUUGGAAACUGGAAAACUUGAGUGCAGAAGAGGAAAGUGGAAUUCCAUGUGUAGCGGUGAAAUGCGCAGAGAUAUGGAGGAACACCAGUGGCGAAGGCGACUUUCUGGUCUGUAACUGACGCUGAUGUGCGAAAGCGUGGGGAUCAAACAGGAUUAGAUACCCUGGUAGUCCACGCCGUAAACGAUGAGUGCUAAGUGUUAGGGGGUUUCCGCCCCUUAGUGCUGCAGCUAACGCAUUAAGCACUCCGCCUGGGGAGUACGACCGCAGGGUUG
rnacentral:rRNA from 1 species